GAAGAUGGCACUUGUGGCAAUUGCAAGAAGGAGAAGGUUAUUGAAUGACGAUGUCAUUGUUGCAUUGGCUGAUAGCUCCUGGAAAAUACUGGACUUGUCUGGUUCAGAUGUUUCGGAUUUUGGCCUAUCACAAGUGGUUAAAACAUGCAACCAUCUGCAAGCAGUUGAUAUAAGUCGCUGCAGCAAUCUCACAUCAGCCAGUGUAUCAGAACUCUUGCAGAACUGCCGGUCUCUGGAAAUAUUGAGAUGGGGAGGCUGCCCUCGGAGUGAGAACACAGCUCGUAGAUGCCUCCGUUUCUUGAAACCAAUACUAGAGAACGUGGAAGGAGAUUCUUGGGAGGAACUUGAUACCUUGGAAAUAGCUCAUGGUGCGACAUCCUUGCGUUGGCUUUUAUGGCCAAAAGUUGAAAAGGACCAGCUGGAGAUUCUUGGGAGGAACUUGAUACCUUGGAAAUAGCUCAUGGUGCGACAUCCUUGCGUUGGCUUUUAUGGCCAAAAGUUGAAAAGGACCAGCUGGAGAUUCUGUCUGAAGAAUGCCCACGAGUCAUAGUAAAUCCAAAGCCAUCGCCACUCGGUUACAGGGGGCUUGAUAUACCUAGAGAAGCAAG
rnacentral:misc_RNA from 1 species